GAGUUUGAUCGUGGCUCAGGACGAACGCUGGCGGCGCGCCUAAUACAUGCAAGUCGAACGGGUUGCCUUCGGGCAGCCAGUGGCGGACGGGUGAGUAACACGUGGGUGACCUGCCCUGGAGUGGGGAAUAACGCUGCGAAAGCAGCGCUAAUACCGCAUAUGCUUAGCCCUUCACUGGGUUAAGUAAAGCUUGAUGCGCUCUAGGAGGGGCCUGCGGCAGAUUAGCUAGUCGGUGGGGUAAUGGCCUACCGAGGCGACGAUCUGUAGCUGGUCUGAGAGGAUGACCAGCCACACUGGGACUGAGACACGGCCCAGACUCCUACGGGAGGCAGCAGUAAGGAAUAUUCCACAAUGGGCGCAAGCCUGAUGGAGCGACGCCGCGUGCGCGAAGAAGCCCUUCGGGGUGUAAAGCGCUUUUCUCGGGGAUGACCACCGACAGUACCCGAGGAAGAAGCCUCGGCUAACUACGUGCCAGCCGCCGCCGU
rnacentral:rRNA from 1 species